rnacentral:rRNA from 1 species
GUGGGGAAUCUUGCGCAAUGGGCGAAAGCCUGACGCAGCCAUGCCGCGUGAAUGAUGAAGGUCUUAGGAUUGUAAAAUUCUUUCACCGGGGACGAUAAUGACGGUACCCGGAGAAGAAGCUCCGGCUAACUUCGUGCCAGCAGCCGCGGUAAUACGAAGGGGGCUAGCGUUGCUCGGAAUUACUGGGCGUAAAGGGCGCGUAGGCGGACAGCUUAGUCAGAGGUGAAAGCCCAGGGCUCAACCUUGGAAUUGCCUUUGAUACUGGCUGGCUUGAGUUUGGGAGAGGUGAGUGGAAAUCCGAGUGUAGAGGUGAAAUUCGUAGAUAUUCGGAAGAACACCAGUGGCGAAGGCGACUCACUGGCCCGUUACUGACGCUGAGGCGCGAAAGCGUGGGGAGCAAACAGGAUUAGAAACCCUAGUAGUCC